AUGUCCUUCAGAGGUUCAGUAGAGCCUGCUGCAAAGGGCUCCUGGGCCUGUGUUGGAAAGGCUGUAGAAUCCUUCCAGCAGUUUACCUGGCAAACAAGUACUCAGGAUCUCGGCGAGUGCCUGCCUUCCAGGGCUCUUCGAAGAGUGGAGGGGGCUGGAGUGGACCUUCUGCAGGCUCUGGGGAUGCAGUGCCUGGCUCAUGGUGUCCUGCAGCAGCUGUGGGGAGUUUCCCUUCUUUGUGCUUUUCUGACAAUGGGAGGCACCAUGGGACAAGGCGUUCAGCAGCCCGCCGAGCUGACAGCUGUGGAAGGAGCUUCUGUCCAGGUCAACUGCACAUACCAGACACCUGGGUUCAAUGGGCUGUUCUGGUACCAACAGCGUGAUGGAGGAGCACCCGUAUUUCUCUCUUACAACGUUCUGGAUGGUUUGGACACAAGAGGUCGUUUUCCUUCAUUCCUUAGUCGCUCUGAUACUUACAGCUAUCUCCUUCUGAGGGAGCUCCAGCAUACAGACUCUGCCUCCUACCUCUGUGCUGUGAUAGACACAUCGACUCUGAGGCCCCUGCAGCUGCACCAAAAUUCAAAAGGCAGCCGUGGCAGUGGGAAGUUACGUUUCCUAAGCAGGUACCUUCUGUGAGUUAAGACAAAAUUUUAGAACCAGACUGCCUGGAUUUGCAGUCCAUUUUAAGAUUUUCCUUCCCUGCUUUGUAAUUCUUUUAUAUUGUCUUCAAAUUUUUAAUGAAGUUUGUUACAUCUUAG